ACGGGAGGCAGCAGUUAGGAAUAUUGGACAAUGGGGGCAACCCUGAUCCAGCCAUGCCGCGUGAGUGUUAAGGCCUUCGGGUUGUAAAGCUCUUUUGUAUGGGAAAAUGAUGAUGGUACCAUAAGAAUAAGCACCGGCUAACUUCGUGCCAGCAGCCGCGGUAAUACGAAGGGUGCAAGCGUUGUUCGGAAUUACUGGGCGUAAAGGGCGUGUAGGCGGACAAAUUAGUCAGGAGUGAAAUCCCGGGGCUCAACCCCGGAACUGCUUUUGAAACGGUUUGUCUUGAGUAUGACAGGGGAUGAUGGAAUACCCAGUGUAGAGGUGAAAUUCGUAGAUAUUGGGUAGAACACCAGUGGCGAAGGCGGUCAUCUGGGUCAUUACUGACGCUGAGGCGCGAAAGCGUGGGGAUCAAACAGGAUUAGAUACCCUGGUA
rnacentral:rRNA from 1 species